rnacentral:rRNA from 1 species
CCUACGGGAGGCAGCAGUAGGGAAUCUUCCACAAUGGGCGAAAGCCUGAUGGAGCAACGCCGCGUGAGUGAUGAAGGCCUUCGGGUUGUAAAACUCUGUCAUUCGGGACGAACCGGAGUCUGAGGAAAUGCAGACUCUCUGACGGUACCGGAGGAGGAAGCCCCGGCUAACUACGUGCCAGCAGCCGCGGUAAUACGUAGGGGGCAAGCGUUGUCCGGAUUCACUGGGCGUAAAGCGCGCGCAGGCGGUGAUGUAAGUCUGAGGUGAAAACCCGAAGCUCAACUUCGGGACUGCCUUGGAUACUGCGUCACUUGAGGAUAGGAGAGGCAAGGGGAAUUCCACGUGUAGCGGUGAAAUGCGUAGAGAUGUGGAGGAACACCUGUGGCGAAGGCGCCUUGCUGGCCUAUUUCUGACGCUGAGGCGCGAAAGCGUGGGGAGCAAACAGGAUUAGAUACCCUGGUAGUCCACGCUGUAAACGAUGAGUGCUAGGUGUAGGUGGGCUCAUACCCAUCUGUGCCGAAGCUAACGCAUUAAGCNCNCCGCCGNGGGUAGGUACGGUCGCGACGACGUAGAAACGUUAAAGUUAGUAAGUUAGUUACGGCGUUGAGGACGUUGGCCGACGGACGACGACGAGGGGAGGUUAGGG